AGGUGCAGUAGAGAAAAAGGACAUGAACUGAUGGCAGAAAAUAUCAGCCAGACAUUGGCAAAUGUGCGAAAUGACAUGGAGCUUCAGAGAGGGAGGAGAAGAAGAAAGGAAAGUAGGAUAGAGGAGUUCUGCUCUGCAUUAAUUAGGUAUCUGCUGAAGACGACAAUGCUAUCUAGAAGCUUUUCUACACGUGCUCUGUUCCGAGAGGCUCCAUUUUUAAGAGCAUCAUAUCCACGCCGGCUCAAAAGCUGUCCCAAAAGAUAAUCCUGCAAAUGAGUCCAGUGCCAGUGUCACACUGCGCGGAGCUCUGUUGGCAGGCAGCUUGGACAGCAGUGUGGAUAGAGAGACGGAGAGAGAGAAGGAACGAGAGCGGGGGGCUGUGUUGUGAACACAGCUGCGGUGAGAGUGCCGCCCUGCUGAUCUGUGGCAGUGUUGCAUCAGAAAUUAAAGGGACAGUUCACUCAAAAAUUAAAAGAUAGUGGAGAAAUGACAGGAAAGAGAAGGGGAACAGGACUGUGACAGACACAAAUCGGACUUGAACCCAGUUCCCUAUGAGUGGGACAUGCAGUAUGUCGGAACAAUGGCCUAUGGAGGGAGUUGAGAGACAAGGGGUGAGACUGACACUCUAGGGAAGAGAAGUUCGCUCAAGAUCAGGCCGGACUGCUGGAACUGCACGGGUGUCUGAAAUGAGACGAAAGCAUCUAGGGCCAUGGAAAUGACAUUCAGGAUCAUGUCAAGGGCGCUCUCCAUGAGAUUAGAUGAGUUCAGCUGGCACUGCUUUCGCCAUCCGUCUAAUCUGUGCGCUGUCAUACUGACGAGUGAGAGGAGGUCAAUGCUAAUACAAGGAAGACAGAGAGAGCAAGCAGUCUGAGAGUGGAAUGGUGGAACACAGAGCUUUUUACUGUGAGAUUUGGAGAAAUUUACCACCACCAUUACCAAUUUACCUCUGCAGUGAAUGGGUGCCGUCAGAAUGAGAGUCCAAACAGCUGUUAAAAACGUACAACUCCAAGUCUGAAAAGCCUUUGUUUCAGGGAAUUGAUCCAGAAUGAGAGUCCAUGCAGCUUCUUGAGAUGCCACAGCGCAAGAUUAAUGUUCAAGGAGUUCCAGGAUCUCACUUUACUCGCACUCCGAGCAGGAAGUGUCCUGCAGAUGGGCUCCACGCGGCUUUGACGGCUUAGUUGCACCACCUCCCCGCUGUGCAACAUGAUGCUACCUGCGACUGGCUCUCCGAGGACUUAGGGGGGUUGUCGGAUGUGUCAGCCCCCGCUGAGCCGACAGGUGCAGACAAAUCUGCUGUGGAUUAGGUGAUACAUCGGAUGAAGGCGCGCUUAACCAAGCGUCUGUCCCACGAAGAAUGUGUGAAAGAAAGAAGGUGUGUCAUUAUUUAUUUGGAUCAAUCACGGCGGUGUCGGCGGAAUGGGACUCUAUCCGAAAUCACUGAUACACGAACGUACUUUCACAUUUCCUGAAAUGUUCUCUGUUAACCUGAUUCACCGUUUCUGGCACGUUUCCCUAUUUUAACCUGAUUGGGCGGCUGUUGUGUAUAAUAGCUCUUGAGAGACCUGUAGCUUUUGGAAUCAUUCCAGUUUUUUUUAAGGAUACAGCAGUCUUUAGAUGCUUCUCAGAGCCUCUUAUUUGUGUUGACGUAAGUGUGCAAUUGGAAAAAAAAAAGCGUACAGGGUGACUAUGAUUUUGCCAAGUAAGCCGUGUUCCUAGAUCAACAUCCCUGUUGGGCCCACAGAGAAAUAAAAUACCUAUCCACCAAUCAGAUUUUAAUGUAGAGCGAGGAGCUUGAACAACAUUCAAUAACACUUUACAAUAAAUAUAUUAUGAACAAAACUUAACAACAAAAAUAAUAAAUAAACAAGACUUCAUUUUAACAUUUACUCUCCUGAUUCAGUCCUAUGCAAAGUAAUAUGGAAACUAGAAAUCCACUGCACAGCAAAAAUUUGUCUAUAAAUUUGUUUUUAUAAUAACAAAAAAAAAAAUUAGAUAAAGUUUAACUCGCACACGCCAAAAGUGGUGAAAAGUUACAUCUGAAAUGGGUUUCAGAAGUGGGUUAUAGCGCCACCUAUAAAAUUUCAGUGAAGUGCCCCUCAAGCUAUGUUUCACAUGCAAGUAUGAAAUUUGGUAGACACAUGUAAUGCACCAAUACCUACAAAAAAGUCCCCAGGUACAGGGAAGUCUGUUAUUUUGAAUUUUCUUUGCAAGUUGUGUCGUUUUUGCCAUUUCAGGCGUAUUUAAACAAACUCCUCCUAAAGAUUUAAACAGAUCAACAGCAAAUUUGGUGAGUGUAAUCUAAAGCCCUUUGUGACGUUAAAUUGCGAAGAUCUUGAAUUUUCGUUGAAGGGCGUGUCCAUGGUGGCCUGACAAACUUCAAUGUUUCGCCAUGAAAAAGGAAGUUGUUAUAAUUUAGGCAUACAAUGUCCGAUCUUCACCAAAA